rnacentral:rRNA from 1 species
AUGAAUGUGCUGAGCUGGAACUGCCAGGGCCUCGGGCAACCCCGGACAGUUCAGGAAUUGGUGUGCUUGGUGCACACGAAUAAGCCCAAGAUCGUCUUCCUCUCCGAGACUAGGCAAAGUAAGGAGAAAGUAAAAGCAAUAAAAUGGAGGAUAGGCCUAAAGCAUUGCUUGACCCAUGAUGGGAAGGGCAAGGGUGCGGGUAUUGCUCUGUACUGGGACGAUUCUAUAAAGAUGAAAAUUUUAUCGUAUGGACCGAGGUAUUUUUAUGUCGUAGUCACUGAACCCCAUGGCCCUAAGUGGCGGGGAACCUUUGUCUAUGGAGAACCAAGAGGCCAUGAUCACACCACAUGUGGAGACUGCUUAGGGCCAUAG